AGAGCGAACGCUGGCGGCAGGCCUAAUACAUGCAAGUCGAACGGAUCCUUCGGGAUUAGUGGCGGACGGGUGAGUAACACGUGGGAACGUGCCCUUUGGUUCGGAACAACUCAGGGAAACUUGAGCUAAUACCGGAUGUGCCCUUCGGGGGAAAGAUUUAUCGCCAUUGGAGCGGCCCGCGUCUGAUUAGCUAGUUGGUAGGGUAAAGGCCUACCAAGGCUUCGAUCAGUAGCUGGUCUGAGAGGAUGAUCAGCCACACUGGGACUGAGACACGGCCCAGACUCCUACGGGAGGCAGCAGUAGGGAAUCUUGCGCAAUGGGCGAAAGCCUGACGCAGCCAUGCCGCGUGAAUGAUGAAGGUCUUAGGAUUGUAAAAUUCUUUCAGCGGGGACGAUAAUGACGGUACCCGCAGAAGAAGCCCCGGCUAACUUCGUGCCAGCAGCCGC
rnacentral:rRNA from 1 species